rnacentral:rRNA from 1 species
GACGAACGCUGGCGGCGUGGAUUAGGCAUGCAAGUCGAACGGUAUGGACCUUUCGGGGUUCAGAGAGUGGCGAACGGGUGAGUAACACGUAGGUAAUCUACCCUCAAGACGGGGACAACCCAGGGAAACUUGGGCUAAUACCGGAUGUGUGUAGUGGCUAUUUUUCUGAUUAUCAUUAUUUACGUAAGUGAGUAAUAAUAAGAAGGGAAAGUGGUUAUUACAUAAAAGGUGGCGUAAGCUGCCGCUUGGGGAUGAGCCUGCGUCCUAUUAGUUAGUUGGCGGGGUAAAGGCCCACCAAGGCGAUGAUAGAUAGGCGGCCUUAACGGGUGGUCGCCCACACUGGGAUUGAGAUACGGCCCAGACUCCUACGGGAGGCAGCAGUCGAGAAUAGUCUACAAUGGCCGAAAGGCUGAUAGUGCGACGCCGCGUGAACGAAGAAGCCUUCGGGUGUAAAGUUCUUUAUAUGUGAGCAGUGCUUUCUAUGUGAACAGCAUGGGAGAGAGAUAUUAGCAUA